AUUGAACGCUGGCGGCAGGCCUAACACAUGCAAGUCGAACGGUAACAGGAAGCAGCUUGCUGCUUUGCUGACGAGUGGCGGACGGGUGAGUAAUGUCUGGGAAACUGCCUGAUGGAGGGGGAUAACUACUGGAAACGGUAGCUAAUACCGCAUAAUGUCGCAAGCCCAAAGAGGGGGACCUUCGGGCCUCUUGCCAUCGGAUGUGCCCAGAUGGGAUUAGCUAGUAGGUGGGGUAAAGGCUCACCUAGGCGACGAUCCCUAGCUGGUCUGAGAGGAUGACCAGCCACACUGGAACUGAGACACGGUCCAGACUCCUACGGGAGGCAGCAGUGGGGAAUAUUGCACAAUGGGCGCAAGCCUGAUGCAGCCAUGCCGCGUGUAUGAAGAAGGCCUUCGGGUUGUAAAGUACUUUCAGCGGGGAGGAAGGGAGUAAAGUUAAUACCUUUGCUCAUUGACGUUACCCGCAGAAGAAGCACCGGCUAACUCCGUG
rnacentral:rRNA from 1 species